UACGUAGGGGGCAAGCGUUGUCCGGAAUCAUUGGGCGUAAAGAGCGUGUAGGCGGUCCGGUAAGUCGGCUGUGAAAGUCCAGGGCUCAACCCUGGGAUGCCGGUCGAUACUGCCGGACUAGAGUCCGGAAGAGGAGAGUGGAAUUCCUGGUGUAGCGGUGAAAUGCGCAGAUAUCAGGAAGAACACCCGUGGCGAAAGCGGCUCUCUGGAACGGUACUGACGCUGAGACGCGAAAGCGUGGGGAGCGAACAGG
rnacentral:rRNA from 1 species